CUAUCGCAACAUUCCGCAUAAAAACGGGAGGUUGAUGUAGUGAAACAAGUAUGUGUUACAACCAACAAGAGAAGCAAGGAAAUUAACUCUAUCUGCUUUUUAUGCCUCAACACGCACUACAUUUCCCUGUGUCAAACGCUGUCGAGACACGAUAAAUAAACAAUAAUUCAAGUUUACAACGGAUAUGUGUAUGUGUAUGUGGCCAUUAGUGGAUGCAUGUUAUACGUUACAUGUAAGGAAGUGUAGCUGUUUUAAUCGAAGAAAUCAGUUUUUUACAUUUUGAGAAGGCAAAUAUAAUUGUCUUAUCCCAAAGGGACUCCACAAAUUAAAGAACUUCCGGUUUGCUAGCAGACGAUAAUUUCCAGACAUGGCGCAGUGCGGGUGGUUUUGGAGCAUAAUCUGGUUUCUCAUUUUAUUUAUUUUUGGAUUUCCGAUAGGAUUCUUGUGUGCGAUUCUAUAUGUGCUAGUCAGCCCAUUUUGCGCGUGUUGUAACGGCUGUGCGGAAGUAGAAAAUUUACUAAUGCGAGGAUUACAAUUACCAAAGACUUGUGCCCAAAAGAUGGUGGCCGGUAGCUCAAUGUGUUGAGUGAAAUAUUCGAAUUAGCGAAUGGAUUAUGGAAGACAAAAAUCACGGCGUUCGACGAGAUAAUAAACAUCUGCUAUUGUUGCUUAACAAGUUUUGGCCUUGUUCUAUAUGUAUAUUUUAUGUGUAGCUUUUUAUGCCGUGAGGUCGACAAGAGGCUUGAUCGAUUGAUCGAUCAGUCACAUACGAUGCAUAGAGAUGAUGAAUAAGCAAGAAUCUGGGGCGAGAAAUAUGAUGGUAAAAGGAAACCUUUCCCGCAAGAUGUUUAGACAUGGAUACAUGCUUCAGUGGUUACAUCCUGUUCAGUAUAUUUGGACGAUGCAGAGAAUAACGGUGAUAUGCACUCCCAUCAGUCGUGCAAUAUGACUAAUCGAGCUUCCGUUAUAGUGUGUGGCGCAAUAUGUUUGUUCUAUAUAUCUUAAUCUUAUAUUUUGAUAUUAACUUUUAUGUAUAGAAGCAAAAUGUAUGCAUUGUAUUCCAAAUGUAUUGCAUAUUUUAAUCCCUUACUAUCGCAUAAUUAUGUUCAAUAGCGUUUCAGUGCAUUAUGUUAACAACUAUGUACAUAUAGUUUGAUAGGCUUUAUACAUUAAUUGCAAUAAAAACAUCGAGUAUUAAAAGUGUUAAAUG